UUUUUUUUUCUGGAGUCAUAUUCUUCUUCUGAGAAAAAGAUGGGUUCAAACUCUUAAUUAUCUGUUUUAGAAAAUAAGUAUUUAUCAGAUGCACCUGCUUGUUUUAUUCAUUUGCUAUAUUUUUUGUAUAGAGAUUAUGCUUGCAAUCAUUGAAGCCUGUUGCUUGAUUUGAUUUUAUAGCUACUUUUUCCUACUUAUUGGGAUAAAGAUAUAUAAUUUAGUCCUAGUAGUUUAUUGCACUACAAGCGAAAGAGUUUUGAGAGAUUUUUUAAAUUUGUUGCAUUACCUGAUUCGAGUUCUGUUCUUCUUGAGUAGCAAGGUGAAUUCAAAAUACAUUUUCAUUUCAACCUGUUGACAACUUAGCGAAAGAUUUAUUAGCAGUAAAAUGCCUUAUGGUAAAAAAAUCCAAACCUUUUUGAUGUUUUGCAAUUAAAGCCUUUUUUAAGCCUAAUUUUGAAGGUUUUUCACAAAUAUAGCUAGCGGCAGAAAUUGGAGAGAUUGACUGGCAAAAUUGUGCCAUGUAAGCUGAUUUAGAGCCAAUUUUGACUGCUGGCUAAAAUUGCCAAAAAAAAAAAAAAAGA
rnacentral:misc_RNA from 1 species